rnacentral:rRNA from 1 species
UACCAGCACCCCGAGUGUUCGGCACGAUUAUUGGGCCUAAAGCAUCCGUAGCCGGCCUUACAAGUCCUCCGUUAAAUCCAGCUGCUUAACAGAUGGGCUGCGGAGGAUACUAUAAGACUAGGAGGCAGGAGAGGCAAGCGGUACUCAGUGGGUAGGGGUAAAAUCCGUUGAUCCAUUGAAGACCACCAGUGGCAAAGGCGGCUUGCCAGAAUGCGCUCGACGGUGAGGGAUGAAAGCUGGGGGAGCAAACCGG